rnacentral:tRNA from 1 species
GGAGGGGUGGCCGAGCGGUUUAAGGCACCGGUCUUGAAAACCGGCGAAGGGGAAACUCUUCCGUGGGUUCGAAUCCCACCCCCUCCGCCA